rnacentral:rRNA from 1 species
UAUCGUGGUGGGAGACAGUGUCAGGCGGGCAGUUUGACUGGGGCGGUCGCCUCCUAAAAGGUAACGGAGGCGCUCAAAGGUUCCCUCAGAAUGGUUGGAAAUCAUUCAUAGAGUGUAAAGGCAUAAGGGAGCUUGACUGCGAGACCUACAAGUCGAGCAGGGUCGAAAGACGGACUUAGUGAUCCGGUGGUUCCGCAUGGAAGGGCCAUCGCUCAACGGAUAAAAGCUACCCCGGGGAUAACAGGCUAAGCU